rnacentral:rRNA from 1 species
GACAGAGGUGCCGAGCGUUAGGCGGAAUCACUGGGCUUAAAGCGCGUGUAGGCGGCUUGAUCAGUCAGACGUGAAAUCCCUCGGCUCAACCGAGGAACUGCGUCUGAUACUGUCAGGCUUGAGUGUCGGAGGGGAUGGCGGAAUUCCUGGUGUAGAGGUGAAAUUCGUAGAUAUCAGGAGGAACAUCCGUGGCGAAGGCGGCCAUCUGGAAGACAACUGACGCUGAGACGCGAAAGCGUGGGUAGCAAACAGG